UGGACGACUCUCGGCAACGGAUAUCUCGGCUCUCGCAUCGAUGAAGAACGUAGCGAAAUGCGAUACCUGGUGUGAAUUGCAGAAUCCCGUGAACCAUCGAGUCUUUGAACGCAAGUUGCGCCCGAGGCCAUCCGGCCAAGGGCACGCCUGCCUGGGCGUCACGA
rnacentral:rRNA from 11 species